AUGGCUGUCGUCAGCUCGUGUCGUGAGAUGUUGGGUUAAGUCCCGCAACGAGCGCAACCCUUAUUUUUAGUUACCAAUUCGUUGGGUUCUCUAGAAAGACUGCCGGUGACAAACCGGAGGAAGGUGAGGAUGACGUCAAGUCAGCAUGCCCCUUAUGUCCUGGGCUACACACGUGCUACAAUGGCUAAGACAAAGAGUCGCGAGCUUGCAAAAGUCAGCUAAUCUCAUAAACUUAGCCUAAGUUCAGAUUGUAGGCUGCAACUCGCCUACAUGAAGUUGGAAUCGCUAGUAAUCGCUAAUCAGCCAUACAGC
rnacentral:rRNA from 1 species